rnacentral:rRNA from 1 species
CGAGCACGCGCGUGUGGCAUAUCAAUAAGCGGAGGAAAAGAAACUAACAAGGAUUCCCCUAGUAACGGCGAGUGAAGCGGGAAGAGCUCAAAUUUGAAAUCUUAAAGGGUUUCCCUUUACGAAUUGUAGUUUAAAGAAGUGUUUUCUGUUGGAGUUUCGGUAAAAGUUCUUUGGAAUAGGACAUCAUAGAGGGUGAGAAUCCCGUAUUUGACCAUUAUUUCCAACUUUGUGAUACACUUUCAAAGAGUCGGAUUGUUUGGGAAUGCAGUCCAAAAUGGGUGGUAAAUUUCAUCUAAAGCUAAAUACUGGCGAGAGACCGAUAGCGAACAAGUACCGUGAGGGAAAGAUGAAAAGAACUUUGAAAAGAGAGUUAAACAGUACGUGAAAUUGUCAAAAGGGAAGCGUUUGACACCAGUGUUGUUUUCUCGAAAAUCAAUUAAAAAUGACCGGAUUUUGUGUUGUAUUGACUUUAUCAGCUUUCUGCACUUUUUUCUUGUCUUUUUUAAUGCACUUUUCGUUUAACAAGUCAACAUCAAUUUCUUUUGUUGUAAAAAGGGCCAUUGGAAGGUGGCUUUCAUUUCGGAGAAAGUGUUUAUAGCCUUUGACUCCUGCAAUCGGAGAGACUGAGGUCUGCAGCGUAGAUCCUUCUGGAUUAGAUUCAUUUGUGCUAAGUUAUAGCCUUUCAUAGACAACUUGUUGACUAUGAUCAGUCAUGUAGCUUACUCGCUUAUGUCAUUUUACCUACGCUUAGGAUGUUGAGUCAUCACACAUCUCU